UACGGAGGGGGCGAGCGUUGUCCGAAUUUAUUGGGCGUAAAGCGCGUGUAGGCGGACCCGAAAGCCUGGGGUGAAAGCCCGGAGCUCAACUCCGGAACGGCCCUGGGGACUUCUGGUCUGGAGGCAGGCAGAGGAGCGUGGAAUUCCCGGUGUAGCGGUGGAAUGCGUAGAGAUCGGGAAGAACACCCGUGGCGAAGGCGGCGCUCUGGGCCUGUACUGACGCUGAGACGCGAAAGCGUGGGGAGCGAACGGG
rnacentral:rRNA from 1 species